UACGUAAGUGGCGAGCGUUAUCCGGAAUUACUGGGCGUAAAGCGUGCGCAGGCGGUUCGUUGUGUCGGCGGUGAAAGCCCCGGGCUUAACCUGGGAAUGGCCGUUGAAACUGGCGAACUGGAGUGUGGCAGAGGGGGGUGGAAUUCCGCGUGUAGCAGUGAAAUGCGUAGAGAUGCGGAGGAACACCGAUGGCGAAGGCAGCCCCCUGGGCUAACACUGACGCUCAGGCACGAAAGCGUGGGGAGCAAACAGG
rnacentral:rRNA from 1 species